GCGGUUAUAGUUUAGUGGCAGAAUGCCUCGUUGCCAACGAGAAGGCGGGAUUUCGAUUAUCCCUAACCGCACCA
rnacentral:tRNA from 1 species